GUCGACGGUAGAGGGGGCAACCCCUCGAGAGUGGCGAACGGGUGAGUAAUAUAUCGGAACGUGCCCAGUCGUGGGGGAUAACGUAGCGAAAGUUACGCUAAUACCGCAUACGAUCUACGGAUGAAAGCGGGGGAUCGCAAGACCUCGCGCGAUUGGAGCGGCCGAUAUCAGAUUAGGUAGUUGGUGGGGUAAAGGCUCACCAAGCCAACGAUCUGUAGCUGGUCUGAGAGGACGACCAGCCACACUGGAACUGAGACACGGUCCAGACUCCUACGGGAGGCAGCAGUGGGGAAUUUUGGACAAUGGACGCAAGUCUGAUCCAGCCAUUCCGCGUGCAGGAUGAAGGCCCUCGGGUUGUAAACUGCUUUUGUACGGAACGAAAAGGUCUCUAUUAAUACUAGGGGCUCAUGACGGUACCGUAAGAAUAAGCACCGGCUAACUACGUGCCAGCAGCCGCGGUAAUACGUAGGGUGCAAGCGUUAAUCGGAAUUACUGGGCGUAAAGCGUGCGCAGGCGGUUAUGUAAGACAGAGGUGAAAUCCCCGGGCUCAACCUGGGAACUGCCUUUGUGACUGCAUAGCUAGAGUACGGUAGAGGGGGAUGGAAUUCCGCGUGUAGCAGUGAAAUGCGUAGAUAUGCGGAGGAACACCGAUGGCGAAGGCAAUCCCCUGGACCUGUACUGACGCUCAUGCACGAAAGCGUGGGGAGCAAACAGGAUUAGAUACCCUGGUAGUCCACGCCCUAAACGAUG
rnacentral:rRNA from 1 species